AGUGGCGGACGGGUGAGUAACGCGUGAGAAUCUGCCUUGGGGUCGGGGACAACCACUGGAAACGGUGGCUAAUACCGGAUAAGCCGAUUGGUGAAAGAUUUAUUGCCCGAAGAGGAGCUCGCGUCUGAUUAGCUAGUUGGUGAGGUAAGAGCUCACCAAGGCAGCGAUCAGUAGCUGGUCUGAGAGGACGAUCAGCCACACUGGGACUGAGACACGGCCCAGACUCCUACGGGAGGCAGCAGUGGGGAAUUUUCCGCAAUGGGCGAAAGCCUGACGGAGCAAGACCGCGUGAGGGAGGAAGGCUCUUGGGUUGUAAACCUCUUUUCUCAGGGAAGAAGCUCUGACGGUACCUGAGGAAUCAGCCUCGGCUAACUCCGUGCCAGCAGCCGCGGUAAUACGGAGGAGGCAAGCGUUAUCCGGAAUUAUUGGGCGUAAAGCGUCCGCAGGUGGCAAUUCAAGUCUGCUGUCAAAGCACGGGGCUUAACUCCGUUAAGGCAGUGGAAACUGAAUAGCUAGAGUGCCGUAGGGGUAGAGGGAAUUCCCGGUGUAGCGGUGAAAUGUGUAGAGAUCGGGAAGAACAUCGGUGGCGAAAGCGCUCUACUGGACGGCAACUGACACUCAGGGACGAAAGCUAGGGGAGCGAAUGGGAUUAGAUACCCC
rnacentral:rRNA from 1 species